rnacentral:rRNA from 1 species
CCUAGGGGCACGAACCGGAUUAGAUACCCGGGUAGUCCUAGGUGUAAACGCUGUGGACUUGAUGUUGGGGGUGCUCCGAGCACUCUCAGUGUCGAAGCGAAGGUGAUAAGUCCACUGCCUGGGAAGUACGGUCGCAAGGCUGAAACUUAAAGGAAUUGGCGGGGGAGCACCGCAACCUGAGGAUUGUGCGGUUUAAUUGGAUUCAACGCCGGAAAACUCACCAUAGCCGACGGACAAAUGAAGGUCAGUGUAAUGAACUUACCGGAUUGUUCGAGAGGUAGUGCAUGGCCGCCGUCAGUUCGUACCGCAAGGCGUUCUGUUAAGUCAGAUAACGAACGAGACCCUCAUCUCUAUUUGCUAACUGGAUCUCCGGAUUUAGUGCACUAUAGAGAGACCGCUGGCGCUAAGUCAGAGGAAGGGGAGGGCAACGGUAGGUCAGUAUGCUCCGAAUGCUAUGGGCUACACGCGCAAUACAAAGGACGGGACAAUGGGCUGCUGCUCCGAAAGGAACGAUAGCUAUCCCGAAACCCGUUCGUAGUUCGGAUUGAGGGCUGUAACUCGCCCUCAUGAAGCUGGAUUAGGUAGUAAUCGCGUCUCAAAAAGGCGCGGUGAAUAUGCCCCUGCUCCUUGCACACACCGCCCGUCAAACCAUCUUAGUUGUGGGUGGGUGAGGCUACCUCUCAAUGGGGUAUUCGAGCCUGCCUUCGACGAGGAGGGUUAAGUCGUAACAAGGUAUCUGUAGGUGAACCUGCAGAAU